GUAUUGAGCUUCAGGUUUGAUCUCAUCAAAUCCGAUUCAGAUUCAAUCAUUGGUGUCGGUUCUUCUACCUAUCAAACUUUAUCAAGCUAGAUUUUAGAGGCACUUAUUCCUUCAUUAAGAAAUUCUUUUUCUAAAAAGUAUACCUUACUACUGACAAAUAUCUUUUAUUCAGCAGGCAGGUAAAAGUAAAAUCUUCUUGUUUCUUUGGGGUACCCUAUGAAAUUGCACUUAUUGGACCGAGGACCGAGCUUGUCAGUUUGUAAUCAUUUAACAUAAGCCGGACACCCCC
rnacentral:lncRNA from 1 species